UUCAAAACUAGAUGACCAUUGGAGAGC
rnacentral:piRNA from 1 species